AUGAAUGUGUGUCAUAGUGAUGCUGUUUAAGAAUUAAACAGCUCUUAAUCCGUAGCCUAUUGGUGUUUGCUUGAGGUUGGAGUGAUAAAACAAAAGCUUGACUUUUGCCAUGUUUUUAUUCCUGUGCUGAAUGGACUGCUGUAGUUUGAGGACUUGGUUUUGCAGGUGGAGAGUCUGCAAGCCAUCAUCAAAGACAAGUUGGAGGACCACGCCUCCUUGGCGGCGGCCAACCAGCUGGCACAGAGAGAGCUUGCCGAACGCAACGAAGAGAUCGACAAGCUAGCUGUGCGAAUCCGUGAGCUGGAGCAAGCGCUGCUCAGCAGUGCCGAGUGUAACGGAGCCGUUGGCCAACUGGAACAAGAACUCCACCGGGCCAAGUUGAGGGAAGAGGAGCUCACGCAAGAUAAGCAGGCACUGGAACAGCAGCAGUUGUCCAAUAGACUUCAGAUAUCUGCGCUGCAGUCCAAACUGGAUGAGACGAGACACUGUUACCAUAACAGCACGUGGGAACCGAC